CACGUGUGUGUGUGUGUGUGUGUGUGUGUGUGUGUGUGUGUGUGUGUGUGUGUGUGUGUGUGUGUGUGUGUGUGUGUGUGUGUGUGUGUGUAUCUUGGCGUUGUCUCCCGCUUCUGGGAGCAGCGUGGCUCGAUAGGGUAGCUGACAUAGUAGUAGUAGUAGUAGUAGUAGUAGUAGUAGUAGUAGUAGUAGUAGUAGUAGUAGUAGUAGUAGUGUGUAUGUACAUGUAUGUGUGUGUACGCACACGCGCUCACUCAUUCGUGUGCAUUCUUGUGUAUUCGUGUGCAUUCAUGCAUGUGUGUGUACGCCACCAAAUUUGUGGUAUAGAUUGUCGCCGCGGUACUUAUACCUGUUAAUCUUGUCAGGCCUAGUGACAGACCUAGUCAUUUGUUUUUUGCUGUCCAAUUUGAAUGCGUGCAGUCAAGGCUAUUCAGAUCGUCAGCCCAUGUAAAGAGGUAGAUGAUGGUCAGUGUGUCAGCCCAUGUAAAGAGGUAGAUGAUGAUUCAGUCUGUCAGCCCAUGUAAAGAGGUAGAUGAUGGUCAGUGUGUCAGCCCAUGUAAAGAGGUAGAUGAUGAUUCAGUCUGUCAGCCCAUGUAAAGAGGUAGAUGAUGAUUCAGUCUGUCAGCCCAUGUAAAGAGGUAGAUGAUGAUUCAGUGUGUCAGCCCAUGUAAAGAGGUAGAUGAUGGUCAGUGUGUCAGCCCAUGUAAAGAGGUAGAUGAUGAUUCAGUCUGUCAGCCCAUGUAAAGAGGUAGAUGAUGAUUCAGUCUGUCAGCCCAUGUAAAGAGGUAGAUGAUGAUUCAGUCUGUCAGCCCAUGUAAAGAGGUAGAUGAUGGUCAGUGUGUCAGCCCAUGUAAAGAGGUAGAUGAUGAUUCAGUCUGUCAGCCCAUGUAAAGAGGUAGAUGAUGGUCAGUGUGUCAGCCCAUGUAAAGAGGUAGAUGAUGGCUAUUCAGUGUGUCAGCCCAUGUAAAGAGGUAGAUGAUGGCAAGGCUAUUCAGUGUGUCAGCCCAUGUAAAGAGGUAGAUGAUGGCUAUUCAGUGUGUCAGCCCAUGUAAAGAGGUAGAUGAUGGCAAGGCUAUUCAGUGUGUCAGCCCAUGUAAAGAGGUAGAUGAUGGCAAGGCUAUUCAGUGUGUCAGCCCAUGUAAAGAGGUAGAUGAUGGCAAGGCUAUUCAGUGUGUCAGCCCAUGUAAAGAGGUAGAUGAUGGCAAGGCUAUUCAGUGUGUCAGCCCAUGUAAAGAGGUAGAUGAUGGCUGGAUUGAUGCCUGGUUUUGGUCACGGGUGUUGCUGCUUUUAACUGGGGACUUUACCCUGGUAAAAGAAAUGGAUUACUUCUGGCAGGACUCUCUAUCUCGUGCUGUCAGUCAUCCAUGUAUGCAUCGUCUGGUCUUCCCCGCGGAUGCAGGUGCUUGCA